CUGACCACACUCCACCGGGCCUUGCUCCGAGGUACCUGGGUGUCCUUGGCACACACCAGUCAUCAUGAUGGUUCUUGGUAAGGGGGGCACUGGGCUCCCAGGUUCUCUCCUUUGAGGGGCCAGUUGGCAGCCCUCUUGGUGUUUGCAGUUUGCCAUGAGGGACACUGAGAGUUGAAGAU
rnacentral:lncRNA from 1 species